rnacentral:rRNA from 1 species
UACGAAGGGGGCGAGCGUUGUUCGGAUUUACUGGGCGUAAAGGGCGCGCAGGCGGCUAUCCAAGUCAGGCGUGAAAGCCCCGGGCUUAACCUGGGAGGUGCGUCUGGGACUGGGUGGCUAGAGAUCGGGAGAGGAGAGUGGAAUUCCCAGUGUAGAGGUGAAAUUCGUAGAUAUUGGGAAGAACACCGGUGGCGAAGGCGGCUCUCUGGGCCGAUACUGACGCUGAGGCGCGAAAGCGUGGGGAGCAAACAGG